rnacentral:rRNA from 1 species
CUUUGGACAAUGGUAGGAGAGCGUUCUAAGGGCGUUGAAGCAUGAUCGUAAGGACAUGUGGAGCGCUUAGAAGUGAGAAUGCCGGUGUGAGUAGCGAAAGACGGGUGAGAAUCCCGUCCACCGAUUGACUAAGGUUUCCAGAGGAAGGCUCGUCCGCUCUGGGUUAGUCGGGUCCUAAGCUGAGGCCGACAGGCGUAGGCGAUGGAUAACAGGUUGAUAUUCCUGU